AAAAGAGGGGGUUAAGUAUGAAUU
rnacentral:piRNA from 1 species